rnacentral:hammerhead_ribozyme from 1 species
ACACUGCUGACGAGUUCCAAACAGGAUGAAACAGCUGUCGAGUAC